GGGGGGGGGGGGCAGGGCUGCUUUGUUCUGUCCUUAUCUUUGAGAGUCCUUUCUCCCUCCUCGUCAGUCUGGGUGCUGGUAACUAGCGUUUUCUGUGCCAAGAAAGACUUGUGUUACAGCAAGGUCUGUGUCCGUCUUUUGCUCCCUUCCAUACUAACCAGGUCUCUCUGUACCAGAGACGCUGUGUCGUGUACAUAGUAGUGUUGAAUAGAUAGUUUUUGGUUAUAUUUACUUAUUUUGUUUGUUUGGUUUUUUUUUACGCUAGAUUUGGUUUUCUAGACACCAGCCUAAUAUAUUAUAUUAUAUAAACCACUGGACAUCUUACUACUGUAAUAGUGUUUUUUUAUGAUCUCGCUGGUGUCUUUUUUUAUUUUUAACUUCUAUUUAAAACUGUUUUGAUGAUGCUAGAGAUGUUUUCCAUUACAUUUUAUUUGAUUAUUAACGUUCUACACCGGUCUGUCUGUGAGAGGUCUAUCUAUCUAACAUUUAAAACCUACACCGGUCUGUCUGUGAGGAAUCUAUCUAGCUAACAUUGGUUGUUUUUUUCCCUUUGAACUCUUCUAAACAGUAUCUUCAAUCAAGAAAUGUUUUCACUGUCUACUGUAACAGUUUUAUUAUAUGGGGAAACACAUUUUUCAGAGAUAUGACAUUCAUUGCAUAAUGCUUAUCAAAAAUAAUUGUUGUUUUGCACUUCAUAGGUAAUGACUACUGUGUCUGUGAUAUUAUAGGGGGAAGACAAAAAAGCAGAGCGGGGAUGGUAGAAUGACCUAUGACCCAUGACCCCCGCCAAUGGCCAGAGAUGGUAUAACCCCAAUAGUCUUUCGCUGUAAUCCUGGGUCAUAGGGUCAGAUGAUGGACCAUUCACUGAGGGUCAGUAGGUGGGCCCCAACCAUAGAAAUAGAAUGAAAAGAUUGGUUAUUCUAUGUCUAUGCCUAAGCCACUGGGCUGCAUGCCAAGGCAGCCUGUUUGGUCCUGUCUGUACCAAGCUUUAGUGCUGGUAUAGGAUCAGUUGUGCCUUUUAGAUCACAGUGAAUAAGAUUAUUUAGACAGGAGAGACCUGGUCCUAGAUCAGCACUGCUGCUCUGAGAUGCUAUGUGAAUACAGGCCCUAUGAAUGGUUGACAAGCAAGGAACAACUGUGAAGAUUCAUGGAACCGAAGACGGAAAGAGGAAGACGUGUAAAGUCGGUUCUAAAAGAAAGGCAGGAUAGAGAACGGAAGGGGAAUUCUGGGAAUUGGAUCCAAAAUUUGCUAUGGGGCCCAAAAAUGACCAACACCCAAAACCCUCUGCCAUUUUAGAAGAAAAUCGAUGACUGAAGAUCAGUUUCUUCAUCUCUGUAUUCAUAAAAAUGCUGUAUACAAAUGAUGAUGAGAUUUUGCACAUGCUACUGUCUGUCAAGUUUGUUUCUCCCUGGGCAGCCCCAUGUGAAUACACCCUUCCUUCCUGGGUGUGACAUGUCCUUGAUUUGUGCACUCCCAAACUGUCUUGCCUUUGGAGUGUUCAGUUUGCGGCAUCCGACGCAGGCGGUAAUGGUUUUCACAGCUGUGACUGUGCAGUGACACGGCAUGCCUAUGUAUAGAACUAUGUUUCCCCUGAUUAGACAAAAUAAAACUCUUUCUGUAACCGAUUCAGGCAAACGUUCAAUAAAGUCUCAUGUUUG
ensembl:lncRNA